rnacentral:ncRNA from 1 species
UCGGUCCUCGGUAGUGGCCUCCGGAGGUGCGCGCACUCAGCGCCGGUUCCGUGGGCCCCGAUCGAUGACCGG